rnacentral:misc_RNA from 1 species
CGAGCGUCAUUACAACCCUCAAGCACAGCUUGGUAUUGGGCUUCGCCGCUAACCCGGCGGGCCUUAAAAUCAGUGGCGGUGCCGUCGAGGCCCUGAGCGCAGUAAAUAUCCUCGCUUCUGGGACCCGGCGGUCGCUUGCCAGCAACCCCCAACUUUCUAAGUUUGACCUCGGAUCAGGUAGGGAUACCCGCUGAACUUAA